AGGGCACCAGCGGGAGUGGAGCCUGCGGCUUAAUUUGACUCAACACGGGGAAACUCACCCGGCCCGGACACCGGAAGGAUUGAGAUAUUGAUAGCUCUUUCUUGAUUCGGUGGAUGGGGGUGCAUGGCCGUGCUUAGUUGGUGGAGCGAUCUGUCUGGUUAAUUCCAAUUACGAACAAGACUCUAGCCUAUUAAAUAGACGUCGGGUUCUCUGCCCUCGACGGCCUUCUUAUAGGGACAAGGUGCUUUUAGCACCGCUAAACAGAGCAAUAACAGGUCUGUGAUGCCCUUAUAUGUCCGGGGCCGCACGCGCGCUACACUGAAGGAAGCAGCGGGUAACAACCUUGUUCUAACGAACUGGGUAACCCGUGGAACUUCCUUCAUGAUUGGGAUAGGGGUUUGCAAUUGUGCCCCUUGAACGAGGAAUUCCCAGAAAACACUACUCAUCAGCUAGUGCUGAUUACGUCCCUGCCCUUUGUACACACCGCCCGUCGCUCCUACCGAUUGAAUGGACUACUGA
rnacentral:rRNA from 1 species